rnacentral:misc_RNA from 1 species
AAUAAUAAUACAGUUUGUUCCAGGUAUGGCUUUCAUAAUUCACGUUACUUCUUUGCCAUUUUUUUUUUGGUCUUUUUUCUUUCAAGAAUUAAGGUUGAAUUGUUUGCUUCUCUUAUGGGAAUGUUUCACCAGUUCUGCUCUUUGUUUUUUCACUUUUUCUGUUCUUGUUCUUUUGGAUACUUUUCUUGGGAUCUUCUCCUUCUGUUGAUAAACUCAAAUUUGCGGGACAAUUUCGGACAGAGAAGAACUUGUAUAACCCACAACCUUUCCAAUACUGUUAACAAUGAGAAUAAGCGCCAUUUUUUUAUUAUCAUUUACUCUUAUCUAAUAAAGAAAACAAAUUGGGUUUUUGCUGAAAUUGGAAUUAAAAUCUAAAAAAGGUUGGAAAUUGCCUGUUGAAGAUAUUAACAUAUGCUUUUCUUGCGACCCUUUAGUUCAUGGUUUAACAACCUUGUCUCAGUCUAUAGAAUUUCACUUGAUUUCGGGGACUAUGCACAAUUUUAAGCUGGUGAACUUUUUUUUUUCUGAGAAGUCAAGCUUGUUAACCUAUUUGAGCUAUGGUUCUAUGAAAAUUUCAAAUAUAGUUCUAAUGAUGCCAAACUCAGAUCAAGGAUUUAGAUAUAUCAUUUUAGUGUUGUACUGGUACUGAUGGGAUUUUGUGUGUGUAAUUUUUCUUCUCAUUCCUUGUUCUAUAAAACAUUUAUUGUUCAAGAAACACAAAAUUGACUUCAGGAGAGUUUUCUGGAUAUAAAUCUCUUGCAUCUGCAUAUGUGUUCCAUGUGCUCUGACACUUUUGUCCAUUAUAUGUGUAUUGUAUGAAAUGUUCUUAUGGCCAAACAACCUUAUGCAUCCAUUUUCUUUUAUUUCAUGGUCUACUUGACUGGGUACUUUUCAUUGUUUAUUUAAUUUAGAUAAACAAGUCUAAGAAUUCUCUCCUUUUUUAUUACCAGAAGGCUAACAACACGAUCUUUGGGAGAUUUAGUAUACAACACAUUCUUUUACGCUGACCUUAGUGAAUUGAGAACAGUUGAAGAGCUGUAAACGAAUUUUGCUUCAUUAAGUAGGUUGAGAUCUUGUAAUGCUCAUUGCACAUACUUGAAAGGAAGACAUAUGAUGGUCACUGCAGCAGUUGUCGGACUUAGUGCAGGAAAGAAGUUCUUGAGUUCUACCUUUUAUUAUUCUGACCUUACAGAAAAGCUUUUCAAUGUCAAUGAUA